CAUGCUCCUCUAGCCCUAUUCCUCACCUCCUCCACUGUACAGCCAGGUUGGGUCCAAGGUUGGCCAACGUAGGAAAGUCUGUGCCCAUUGCCAGGUAAGGAAUAGGUGGGGGCACAGCUAGAUUUGGAAACAAGAAGUCAGACCUGCUCCCUGCCUUCAUGGAAGUCUUCCAGCAACACCACAGUAUGUGGAGAAUCCUGCUUUAAGGUGAGACAUGAGGUUGGAGGGAGCAUGGGUGGCCAAACUGGACUUCCCUUUCUCUUCCUGUCUACCUUAAAUAUUCACUCUUCCCUUGUCUCUGGCUUGCUCUCAUGUAUAGACCUUCAAAUUUAUACAACUUUAUGUUCUGCCUAUUUUUCUUCCUGUCUCCACGUGUAAAUAACUGGUCUAUCUCUCUCUUACCUCCCAUAUUAGACUUCAACUUUCCAGGAGGCUGUGGUCAUGCUUUACUUCCGCUGUUCCAGGUCUAGCAUCCAGUACUGGCUUCAAUGACAGAAGAUAUUCCAAAAGGACAUGGAAAGGAUCCCCAGAUCAUCAGUCAACAGCCCAGUGGACUUUCCCAGAAUGGAUGCUUCUCUCCUUCCUUGCCCAGAGGAGAACUUGGCCAUGACAGCAAGCUCAAUGGGAGGCUGCAGAGAGGUGGACACUGAGGAGCCACAGACCAGGGAGAAGACACAGACUACUCAUUGGCUGUUCUCCAAGACCAUUAGGACUGUCCCUCUCCCAGUGCAGACCCCUGCCCCUAACCUCAACUCCAUGCUGCCCAGUAUGGAGCCUUUCCCAUUCCCACUACCACCCCAACAAUGCUGUUGCCUCUGGCUUCUAAUAUUCUCAAAUUUGGACCACUUGAAUCUUGACUUGUUCCUCCAGAAGGUGAUUGGUGCAGGGUGUUGGUGUAUUGUUUGUGUCUGUCACUAAUCAAGGGAUUAAGAGCAAGGGGGAGGAGCGUAAGGAAGGGGCUGCCCCUCUCUCAGCGGGGAGAUUGGGUUUGGAAACAGGGACCAGGACUGUGAGCAGGGUCUGCUUCUGACUCGACGGAGGGAGCAGGCAAGGCCUGGGGCCCUUUUAAUUCUAGACAGGCCCAACCUCCCCUCUGCCUGGUCUCUGAAGCUCCCUACCUAUUCAUGGCCCCUGGAGUACCAACCCUCCCAGCUUGACAGAGUUGGGUGUCCCAGGGAAGGGGAAUUGAG